CAUGACAACAUUUUCAUCUUCCUCUUCCUCUUCAGCAUGUCCAUUCUCAGCUUUUGAUGGAGCAUCUAGUGCAGGCGUCGGAGCAGCUGCAGUUUCUGUGGUGUUGAGGGAGGCUAGAUCACCGGUUAGAACCAUCCCUUCUGGCUCUUUCUCUUCGUCAAAAGUAUCCCUGUAUAGUAUCAUAUCACAAAUAAGUCUAUCGAAGUUGAGACAAGACCAUCUAAGCUACACUGUAAUUCAAUCACUACUAUAGUAUCAUGCUUCAUGAAUAAUGAUACCUGUGCUUGACAUGAAGGCUGCAUCGGAAAUCCUGAUGAUAAUCCUCAACCGUCAACACCACACCUGUCGUAAUGGGAGUCGGAUAAUCUACGAACUUCUGCUCCAUCACACAGCGAUUGCAGCUAAGUAAGAACCAGAGGACAGCGAAUCUCGCAAAUUUCAGGCAAGUCCAUGGUCCUUAUUUGCAAAAACAAUGCUGCGCACUGACAAUUGCCUUCUUAUCAAUCAAUAAGAAAAUCUGAAGAUUUGUACAGAGGGUUAGUGUUCUAGAACCUUGUCAAGAAGAGCUCUGUAGUAUGCCACCAUGUCCUCUUCAAUGUCUUCACCUGCCUCGUGUAGAAGAGUUGCACCCUGCAUGAUAACAGGAUCCGUGACACCUAGCUUGCGCUUCACAACCUUCUCGAUCACCUCCCUCAUUGUAGCCGUAGCGGUGUUCAGUUCCAACACUAAUGGCGUCUGGUCUCCCACGUUACCAGCACAUUUCACGAAUAAUCAGUAACUCUUAUUCCCACAUAUCAUCACGAAGUUAUUUGUCUGGUACUAAGAAUCACAACAAGAAGCCAGGUUCGAUAACCAGAAUUAUAGUGCCAACUCCAACCUAAGGUGGAAAAUGCUAGCUUCUUGCAUUUCUCUAGACCGCUAUAACUUUCUAGGGGAUGUUAACAUAACAACAUCUCCACCUCCCAAGUUUUACAGAAGGCAAAGUACCUAGCCUCCAGAACUUGGUCGUAUUAAGCCCCAAGACCCAUUACUGAAAACGAAGAAAAGCCAGGUUCCUACCUCAGAGCAGACAUAGCAACG
rnacentral:lncRNA from 1 species